AUCCAACCACCUUGAGGUUGACAUUUUUCUUUUUCUUAGAUUUUCUACGUGUUUACAUGAAAUAACAGAGGGAAAUAUGCAUCAAGAGUCCAAGCUGCGUGUUAGAUUGGUCAUUUAGAUUAUACAUAUCGUUUAGCUGUUCAAUGUUUUGACUGUUUCAAAGAAUGGAAAUGGUCUAUAUAUACAUAUAGCCCAAAAGAAUAUAUGAAUAUAAGUGAAA
rnacentral:misc_RNA from 1 species